rnacentral:rRNA from 1 species
GGGCCCGCACAAGCGGAGGAACAUGUGGUUUAAUUCGAUGAUACGCGAGGAACCUUACCCGGGCUUGAAAUGCAUUCGACUGGGUCGGAAACGGCCUUUCCCUUCGGGGCGGAUGCGUAGGUGCUGCAUGGUUGUCGUCAGCUCGUGCCGUGAGGUGUCGGCUUAAGUGCCAUAACGAGCGCAACCCCUGUCGUCAGUUGCCAUCGGUAUAAGCCGGGGACUCUGGCGAGACUGCCAUCGUAAGAUGCGAGGAAGGUGGGGAUGACGUCAAAUCAGCACGCCCCUUAUGUCCGGGGCGACACACGUGUUACAAUGGGCGGUACAGCGGGAAGCUACCCGGCGACGGGGAGCCGAUCCCGAAAUCCGCUCACAGUUCGGAUCGGAGUCUGCAACUCGACUCCGUGAAGUCGGAUUCGCUAGUAAUCGCGCAUCAGCCACGGCGCGGUGAAUACGUUCCCGGGCCUU